UUUUUUUUUUUUUUUUUUUUCUUCUAAAGAUUUUUUUUUGUUUCUUGAGGCUAGGACAUCAGGUCGCAGGAGCAGAGGAGCUGC
rnacentral:ribozyme from 14 species